rnacentral:rRNA from 1 species
GCGUACAGGAUGAACGCUGGCGGCGUGCUUAACACAUGCAAGUACGAACGGACCAUAUUGAACCUAGUGAUAUAUGGGUUAGUGGCGGACGGGUGAGUAACGCGUGGGUAACCUGCCUACACAGGGGGAUAACACUUAGAAAUAGGUGCUAAACCGCAUAAGCGCACAGCUUCGCAUGAAGCGGUGUGAAAACUCCGGUGGUGUAAGAUGGACCCGCGUCUGAUUAGCUUGUUGGCGGGGUGACGGCCCACCAAGGCGACGAUCAGUAGCCGGCCUGAGAGGGCGGACGGCCACAUUGGGACUGAGACACGGCCCAGACUCCUACGGGAGGCAGCAGUGGGGAAUAUUGCACAAUGGGGGAAACCCUGAUGCGGCGACGCCGCGUGAGUGAAGAAGUAAUUCGUUACGUAAAGCUCUAUCAGCAGGGAAGAAACACUGACCUUACGGUCAGCAGACGGUACCUGAGUAAGAAGCCCCGGCUAACUACGUG